rnacentral:lncRNA from 1 species
GCUGCUUUCUUUAAAAACUGAAAUUAGUUGUAUCUGUUUUUCUGCUAGCCCUUCAGAACCCACUCAUCUGGGAGCAUGAAUCUGCAUCUGUAACUUUUCCAUCCCAUCCUUCUGAAGUUCAGUAGUUACAGGAAAAAUAGGCAGAUCUGCUGAAGGUGGCCAUUAACAUCGGGCAAGGGAUCUGCCUGGAUCUUGUGACUCCAAAGCCAAGCUGAGCUACUGGAGCUGUUUGGAGUUGGCACGAGGCUCUUGCGCUGCUUACACCUUCAUCCAUCAGUGGGAGGAUUACUUUCCCUCGGUGAACUGCAAAUCCAGUGCAAGCUGAAAUAGCAGAACCCUGGACUGUGGAAGCAGCUUUUCA